CUAGCCUACUAAAUAGUUACUGGAUAAUUUAUGUCCAGAAAACUUCUUAGAGGGACAAGCGGUGCUUAGCCGCAUGAAGUUGAGCAAUAACAGGUCUGUGAUGCCCUUAGAUGUCCAGGGCUGCACGCGCGCUACACUGGAGGAAUCAGCGUGCUGUAACCAUUGCCGAGAGGCAUUGGUAACCCCUUGAAAAUCCUCCGUGAUCGGAAUCGGGAAUUGCAAUUAUUUCCCUUGAACGAGGAAUUCCUAGUAAAUGUGAGUCAUCAGCUCACGUUGAUUACGUCCCUGCCCUUUGUACACACCGCCCGUCGCUGCCCGGGACUGACCCGUUUCGAGAAAAGCGGGGACCGCUAGUGUUUCAAAGCUUUUCGAGGUGGAGAUUCAUUGGUGGAAACCGCUUUAAUCGCAGUGGCUUGAACCGGGCAAAAGUCGUAACAAGGUUUCCGUAGGUGAACCUGCGGAAGGAUCA
rnacentral:rRNA from 1 species